CUGUGAUAAACCGCAAGAGUAUAAAAAGCGAGAGUGUAUUAGUGUCAGUGGUCCAUAGGUGGCGCUAAUGCACUUAUUAGCCUGCGAUUCACCGUCAAACUACAAGAAGAAGAAGCCAGAGGAACAGUUGGGCAGACAUCACCCUACAGCAUUUUCAGGAGCGUUUAUAAUCUGUUGAAUAUGGCAGAAAUGACACCUUGUAUAAAUGUGGUCCUGCUUGGAAAAACAGGAUCUGGAAAAAGUUCAUCAGGAAACACAAUCCUGGGUCGACAAGCUUUCAUCUCAAAGCGAAGAUCCGUAUCAGUCACACGAGACGUUGCUGUGGAGUCUGGAUCAUUCUGUGAACUACCAGUCACUGUUUAUGACACACCAGGUUUAUUAAAUACAAAUAUGAGUGAAGAAGAGAUUCAGCAGAUGAUCAAUAAGAAGGUCCUCCAGAAAUGUUCAUCAGGUCUGUGUGUGUUUCUGCUGGUCAUCAAAGCUGACAGAUUCACUGAAGAAGAGAGAAAGACUGUGGAGAUGAUUGAGAAGAUCCUGGGAGAAAACAACCAGAAAGACAUCUGGAUUCUUUUCACCAGAGGAGACGAACUGGAGGAAGAAAACACGACAAUCCAGGAGUUCAUAGAGGAGACUGAAGAACUGAAGACACUCGUGCAGAAAUAUGAGCACAGAUACCAUCUGUUCAACAACAAGAAGAAGAUGGAGGAGGAGGGACCGAGUGAACAAGUGAAGAUGCUGAUCACAAAAAUACUGAAGAAUUACCUAGACACAAUGAGAGCAGAUAUGCUGGAGCUUAAUCCACUGAGGAGAAAUCAACCUGGAAAUAUUGAGCCAGUCUCUCGUGUCUCUGGUCUCCCCUCCAGACGGAUUGUUCUUCUGGGUAAAUCUGGUGUUGGUAAAAGUGCAGCUGGAAACACAAUCCUGGGACAGAGAGAGUUUGUAUCUGUGAUGAGGAUGAAUUCAGUAACCCGCAUUUGUUCAGCAGCUCAGGCCACAGUUUCAGGCAGAUCUGUGUCUGUAGUCGACACUCCUGGAUUAUUCGACACACAGAUGAAACCUGAAGAGUUAAUGAUGGAGAUCGCCAGAAGUGUGUAUAUCUCCAGUCCUGGACCUCACGCUUUCCUCAUUGUGUUUCCUCUCAACAUGAGAUUCACUGAACAGGAGCAGCUGAUUCCUCAGAUGAUUGAGAUUAUCUUUGGUCAGGAGGUGUUGAAAUACUCCAUCAUUCUCUUCACUCAUGGAGAUCAGCUGGAUGGAGAGUCUGUAGAGAAGCUGAUAGAGGAGAACAGUAGAUUAAGAUCUGUAGUCCAGCAGUGUGGAGGCAGAUAUCAUGUGCUCAACAACAGAGAUGAGAAUAACAGAGAGCAGGUGGAGGAUCUACUGCAGAAGAUUGACUCAAUGAUACAGCAGAAUGGAGGAGGACACUACACUAACCAGAUGUAUGAAGACGCUCAGAGAGCCAGACAAGAGGAAGAAGAGGAGCAGAGACCGAGAGAAGAAGAGAAGAGAAAACAACUAGAGAAACAAUUACAAGAGGAGAUUGAGAGAGCGAAGAAGGUAGCAGAGGAGAGAGUCAGAGCAGAGGAUAAAUCACUGGAAAAUAAGGACAGAGUCAGGCAAGAUGUAAAAACCUUUGGAUCUAUGUGGAAUGGUGUUUUGUCUGUCGUUGGAGCUGCUGUUGGAGCUGUUAUUGCUGCACCUGUUGUUGCUGCUGCAGCUGUUGUUGCUGCACCUGCUGUUGGUGUUGCUGCUGCUGCUGGACUUGGUGCUGCUGUUAGUGCUUCUGUUGGUGCUGCUGCAGCUGGUGCUGCUGCAGCUGGUGCUGCAGCUGGUGCUGCUGUUGCAAGAAGAUUUGAUGACACUCGAGAGGAACUAGAUAAAAAAGGAAAAAAUAGAAAAAGAUGAAUUUGAGAGCAUGAAAAAAGAUGAGUAAGGUCAACUCAACAUCAGAAAGAAGGAUUCAGAGACACAAGAAAGGGUGAGCAAACAGCUGCUACAUACUUCAGCAUGAGAAAUUCAUACACCGGCUUGAGAUAGAAAUGCAGCUCCAGCUGAAAAGUGCUGUAAGACAGUGUCUCACAGCAGAAGAUGACAUGCUGAAGAGAUGACACUAACAGAGACCAUAGGCGGGACCAAAAAAGGUACAAUAUUAUUAUUAUAAACUGUUUAUUUUACACUGUGAGAUUGUGUGGGUACUUCAUGGUACAUGUCUCCUUCUCAGGCAGCAUUAUUCAGCACAUCAGUAGAUCUGAGUGGGGUACUUCACUAAUUACUGCUGCAUGAUGAUCAGGUGAGCUCCCUCUACUUUUUACACGUUCAGUAAUGUUCUUAUUUUGGACUGUUUCCUUUAUAAUCAUAAGCAAACUGUUUUGCUUACAGAAUCUCUGAACAUCUGAAAACCACAGACGUAGCCAUGCUAUCCCAUAAUGCAGGGGUGGGCAAACUCUGUCCUGGAGUGCCGGCGUCUUGCACAGUUUAGUUUCAACGCUAAUCAAACACACCUGAACAUGCUAAUCAGUGUCUUCAAGAUCACUAGAAAUCUAUUCACCUUAUUCUCCGCAUACGAGGGGGCGCAGCCAUUUUAAUCAUGUUGGCUGGAGACUUCCGAUCUCACUUCCAUUCAUUUACAUUUAUAUUUAGUCAUUUAGCAGACGCUUUUAUCUAAAGUGACUUACAAAUGAGGACACAACUAUAAGAGCAAUAAUGAAUAAGUGCUGUAGGCAAGUUUCAGGUGUGUAAAGAAAGUGUAAGAAGCAAAACAUUAGUAAAUUUUUUUUUCAUUCACAUUUAGACAUUAAAAACAGCAGCGUUCUGCUGCUUGAUGUUGCAAACUGAUAUUUUUUCUACUAUAUUAUUUAUUUUGUCUGUAUUGUCAUGCAAACAUUUGUUUGUAGAGCGAGUAGUUUGAUAGUUUUCUCCUGAUUAUUGUUCUUAGUCAUUUCUCCCAUAUGCUACUGAAUUGGACGUUCUAAAACAAAUGCAAAAACAGGCGCACUUCUGCAUUGAAGAAUAAGGUCAAUAAGCAGGUGUGUUUGAUUAGAGUUGGAGCUAAACUGUACAGGACACCAGCCCUUCAGGACCGAGUUUGCCCACCCCUGCCAUAAUGCAGCACAAGAGAAUUCAUGAAUGGGAGUGCAGCAACACAACUGCAGGUAGGUCGUGUGAUGAUGACAGAUACAGUACUUCUCAAAUAUUCGCAUGUAGACCUCGCUUGUAAUAGUUAUGUAGUAAAUUUAAAUGUAGAACUGGAGGGAUUACUGUUCAUUUUUAGGUGAUUAAACUAUGUAUGUAUAAUAUGCUUGCCUUAAAUACAACACUUUUAUGCAUACAGAUGUGGACCAAAAUUGUUGUCUUAUUUACUAUAUUAGGUAGCCUAUUAUGUUAGGUGUGCAAUCUGACACAAUGACACAAAUCAUAAAAAUAAAGCUUCAUUAUUUUGAUCUCUUGUUGAGACAUCUAAAACGGUAGCGAUUAAGCCAAAGGAAGGUUGUAUAACUUUUAUUUUAUCCACAAUCUUACCUUCUCUCAGAUUUCACUCCGAGGAGCGUCUGACAUGCACCUCUCUCAGGACAUGUGUUAAGGCUUCCUCUACCGCAUUACACCUAAAACACGGAUUGCAGUAAAACUGGUCAAUAGCAGGGAAGUGUUUUCCUUCGGUAACUGCAAGGAAAGAGUUAAACUAAAUCAUUUAUCAAUUUUACACACAUAAAAGUACCAGUCAUACAUGUAAAGCACAAAUAAUGUCCUUUAAUGCGUUCACGUCCAGCAGCCAUCAUCCUUAAACCUGUUGGGGUUUAAGGGCCUACUCACACUAUGCUAUCUGAACUGUGCCCAGGCCCAUUUCCCGGAUCGUUUGAGAAGUGUGAGUGCGCUGAAUUGGGCUCAAGCACGGUUCACUUGGUUGGCAAUGCCCGAUUGAAAGAGGUGUGCCUGAGCGCGGUUCACUUGGGCUUUAGCGCUGUACGCUUGUAGUGUGAGUGCAAAACGCACCUGAGCCUGAAACUGAAAGCGAUACUGUUUGAUAUGGAUUUAUUAAUCAUUCUUACCGUUCAGUGAACACACACUGCCGUAGUUUAUUAAAGACGCAAACCUCUCACUGCACCUUCAGCAAACCUCCUAACUCCUGCAGUAUGAGGGCUUUAUGGUUGUUUUUGUUCAAAAGUGGCUGAUCUGUUCAGUGAAAUAUUUGACUGCGUGUGACUGCAUCCCUUAAACAAUACAACUAAAGAAAUCUCCACGGUGCUCAGCGAGAGCGCUUCUCUUCUGUUAAACUGAACAGCGCUUCAUUGAUGACGUUAGCGUGCCCAGGCCCGAAUGUAAUGCGAGUACGGGCCGUCGGGGGACACGGGAGGGGGAUCGAGCGUGCUUUGGCCCUGUUCAAGGCGACUGCACAUAGUGUGAGUACCGCCUGAGAUAAACAGUUGAAGAUAAAGUCUGGUGUGUCAGAUCAGGAGAAGACUCAGAGUCAAAGAUGCAAUUAAAAAUGAAAAAUUUACUGAAGACAGUUUGCAGCUCUAUGGCAGAAGGGCUUCACACUCAAGCGGAGUUUGCAGGCCGAUCUGCCUUACAGUUCAACAGUGCAGCAACUAUACUCUUUACACAAGUCCAGAGAAGGUGGGAUCCAAGUAAACAGUUCUCAUUGGUUACAGUAAAAAUAGACAAUUGUAAUUGUGUGUGUCAGUGAAGUAUUGUAUCUACUUCUAGAUAUGGAUGGCCUAAAUGUGUGCGCCAAGAAAGAAUUGUAUCUUACUCCAGAUAUGGAUGGCGGCAUGGUUCUUGGGGGUCAGGCAGACUCUAAACUAUUAAGAGCUGAUCGCCGACCUGUAAAACGCUAAACCAUGGAGGCAAUAGACGCAAGAGCCAAUCUGUUGUGGAAACUCAAGGUUGUUUCUCUUAUGUUCAGCUGUUUUAUCAAACUGGUUUAAGACUGGUUCCAUCAACAUUCGGCUACAAUAUCCUCACGACACACAAAGUCUAUCUAGCAGAAAAAGGAAUUACUUUAAGAUUUUACAAUCAAAACAGCUAAAUUACUGUAGACAGUAUCAUGACAAAUAGAGCAGGUGUUUUUCCCUUCCUCUGCAUCAGUAAUUUUAUUCGGAGGGACAAAGAGAGAGAGAGAGAGAGAGGUAUCCAUGACCUGGUUUGUGUGUCUCCUGAAAAUAGUUAAAAGGAACAGAGCAAGGACACUGAACAUGCUUACAUAAGGCAGUGGGUUACUUAUUCAUUGGUUCAAAUCAAUUUCAAAGUUAAAUACUCAUUCAAAUAAUCGAAUAAUUAUAUUCAAUAAGAGUAAUGAGAAACAGGAUGCUGAGAAAAAGGAUAAACGUUGAUUUACGGUGAGAUAGAUUUGAAGGUAGAAAUCCGAAUCCUUCAAACCAAUCUCAAUCUGUGUAAGCUGCUUGCUGCUCUGUCUGUUCCACUGCUCCAUUUUUUUAGAUGUUUCCAACUUUCUUUUGCAGUCUGAAGCACGUCAAACGCACAAAAUGCCCAAUUUGCGCCACAGAAUGCCUAAUCCAAUCAUUGCAUUGACUUCACAUGUAAAUCACUCGCGCUUCAUCUGCAUCUGCUCACUGCACAGGCUGCAUAACAAUUCCCCCCUGCCCCCUCCAUGUAAUGUAAUGAUUGUGAGGGCGCAGGUGAGUAGUCAUUAUUCGAGAGACACACAAAUACAUCAUGUGCGCUGCGUAUGCACAUCUAUAAGUCACGCAAAACAAUUUAUUGCAUAUUGAAAUGAGUAUCAUUUGAUUAUAUGGUUUGGAAUCGGAUGUUUUAUAAGAUUAUUUACAUUGUUUUUGCCAUUACUUUGCGUUGAAUUAAGAAUUUCGUGAAAAUGUGCAACUUUUUUUUUUUUCUUUUUUGCGCUGGAUUCAGUGAUUGCAGAAUCAUGAAAAACUAGGGGUCUGACUUCUGUUAAGCAAUAUGCACUUUUCAUUCAUUUAUUUUCAGUCAUUUCUGAUUAAUCUUUACAUAGUCCAGUUAUUUCAGUCACUACUGUAGUUUUUCCUUCAAUAGAUGGGUACCAACAAGUUUGUCUACAUCUGUGUAGCACAUAUAACAUGUUAGAUGCUAUUUUUUUAUUCACACAUAUUAAGUAAAAUGUAGAUGUCACUUCAUUCUUUAUUAUGGUCCAAUUUUGUAAGUCAUUUAGGGAUUUUUUUUCAAUAAACUGAGAUUUUAAUCAAUAUAAUGAUGAGUGCCUGCUCAACUUUAAUGUCAUUUCUUAAUUCUAUCAGCUAAAGGUUUAAUCAUAUGUUCUGUUUGUUUUUGUUUUUUUCAGGAAGCGUCAUGGCAUCUGUGAUUGUCUUAUGGAAACUUUGUUUCCAGUUAAGAGUUGCAGAUCGUGGAGUUAGCAGUGAUGCAUGUUCCUUGAGCUGGGAGAACUAUGUGUGUGUACGCUUAAUAAAUAAGCAGAUUUUGCAGUAAGUCGUUG
ensembl:processed_transcript